UUCCGACUGGCGCGCUGGGCGGGGCGAGCUGGGGAUGGCGGGCGGAAGAGGUGGAGUUGGGAGGGUCCGGCGGCGCUCGGGAGGCUUGCGCGCCAAGGGCUGCUUGUCGCCGCGGCAGGUCCCCACAAAGCCCUUGGGGACUGAGGCCCGGCAGGGGGCGGAGCCCGCAAGCUCCUUUACGGGCAGGCAUGCAGCUCCGUAAAAAGCGAGGGUAGCUGAGUCAGAGAAAAAAGAAAGUCCAAAGAUGGCUUGAACAGACUUGGCAUUUGGGGGUAUCACUGUCCUGGGCUGAUUUCUGAGAGGAGCCAUAAGUUACUGCAAUUUGUCAGGCAAGGAUAUAGUGUCCAGCUUGAAAUGGCUCCUACUGGCAAAAGAAGAUAUACUUGGAGCACCAAGGACAAUUAAAAAGCGUGUGACUGCCAUGGAUUGAAACUCAUUAAAUAUGUUAAAAAUACAUGAAUUCUUAAUAUUGCUUAAAAAAACCUCACCAGUCACAUUGAAGAUUGCUAGAACAUCAAUUCAUUAUUCUGAAAUUGGUAAAUAAUGGUUAAAAAAACAAAACAAUUAACUUGCUUUUCCUACAUAAACUGGAGUUCAUAGUAACCAAAUUGCUGAUGAAGAAAAACUUUUUUAUGGAAAAAGUCCAAUGAAUAAAUGAGGGAGAAAUGAUAUAAUAUCACCGUUUUGCAACCCAUAGUAAAAUGUUUCUAAGAAAUAAUACAUCCAGUUCCACAUGUAAGGAGCUCAGAAAUUGCUAUUUUAUCCUAACAAUAAGUAAAAAGAUGAACAAACUGAAAAAUCGGCAACUCUUUUUAGAUCUGCAAGAGAAGUGAGGUCAUAGGGCACAUACUGCCCACCAAAUAGACUGACACGUGAAUAUAGAAUCACAAUUUAUUGGAGCAGCAACCUCCAUGGGAACCAGUGCCAGGGUAGGGAAGUCUGAACUGCAACUGAUGAAUUGCUGGAGGCUCAGUGUGGGCAAUUCUGACACAAAAACUCCAGGGGGACUGAGUCAUGAGGCAGCCCCCACACUUUUGUAAGUUUAUGCCUCCAAGAACUCUGCCAAGUUCUCACAGUAAAUACCAGAGAAAAAUCUUGUGCUCAGAGAGGAGGAGAGGAAAAAGAGCCAUCUGAAAAUAAACCAGAGUACUCUGUUCUUCUUUGUAAGGCUUGCCUUCAGAAGAAACUAGUUAACCAGAGUCUAACUUGUUAGGGUUUUAUCAGAGCCUAGAUGACCUGGGGGAAAGCAAAUACUCAACUCUAGCCCACUCUAGCCAUCCUGUCCUACAUAUGAGAGGAAGGGGGAGGAAACUGAGAAGCACUGUGAAGUUCAUGGUUCAGAGGCAUAGGCUCACUGAAAGACUGAGACCUACAUGAGACUGUAGAAUGCUUCACCUCCCCUAAAUCUCACUACUACAUUAUGAAAGGCCUGUUUACAACAGUUCCUUUUAUGUGUCUAGCUAUCAAGGAAAAAACUACAAGACAUUCCAGAAGACAAAAAACAUAGUUUAAAGAGACAAAGCAAGCAUCAGAACCAGACAUUGCAUGGAUAUUGGAAUUAUCAGAUUGGGACUUUAAAACUAUGAUUAAAUGCUGAGAGCUCUAAGGGAUAACGUAGACAGCAUGCAAGAGGGGAUGGACAAUAUAAGCAUAGAGAUGAAAGUCCUAGCACCAAAAAUAAAUGUUAGAGAUCAAAAAAAUAUAUAAAAGAAAUGAAUGCAUUUGAUGGGCCUAUUAGACUGGACAUGGCUGUGGAAAUAAUAACUAAUGUUUGCCAAAUAACCAUCAGGUAGAAGGUUGAAAGGGAACUUUAUAAAAAAUGGAUCAGGCUGACAACACUUGAUCAAUCUUAACAGUACUGCAAGUGAGAUGAUCAAGCAUUAUGUACCUCCUGAUGUGACCCACUUCAUACUGUUACUAUUUAUGAAAUAUUUUCACAAAACCAGAAAUUGAAUCUAAAUCUAAUGAAGCCUCCAGAUCUAACUACCAGUUUACUUGAAAAAAGAGGCACAGAGUAACAUGUUAAGGAACACCAUGAUAAUAGAAUCUACCCAGUACAUAAUGUGGUAACCACUGCAGGAAAAUGGGAUGUAAACUGGCUAUGUUAACUGUUAUGGGCUGAAUCUUGUCCCCUAAAAAUUCUAUGCUGAAGCUCGAACCCCUAAUACCUCAGAACGUGACUCUAUUAAUACCUCAGAACGUGACUAUAUUUAUAAAUAGAGUCUUUAAAGAGGUGAUUAAGUUAAAUGAAGCUGUUAAGAUGGACCCUGAUCCAGUAUGAUGGAUACCCUUAUAAAAAGAGGUUAGGGCACAUAGACACCAGAGAUAAGAGCACACCAAAUCUGGUAUUUUGUUAUGGCAGCCCUAGCAAACUAGUACAAUAGCAGUAGGUGGAAUAAUGAUUUUUUGGUUAUAAGAAUAACAAAAAUGAACCUUAUCUGUUUGAGAUACAAAAUAUAGGUGUUUACAGGUGAAAUUAUGAAUUUUGGGAUCUGGCUAAAAAUACUUAAAAAAAUACGUGGUGGAUGAAAUAAGAAUGGCAAAUUUUGAAUAAUUAUUGAAACCGAGUAAGAGGUAUUAAAGUGCAUUUUAUCUCCACUAAAUACCUGUUGGAUCUGUCCUCUCCUCUCUUAUGGUGUUACUUCCAUGGCUCUCAUCCCGGUUCACUGUACUCUUACCUGGAUGGCUGUGGGUCCUUCUUAUAGGUCCUUGCUUCCUUUCUCAUCCUGGGUCUCUCUCUGCUAGCUUUGGUCAUGUUGUUGCUAAAGUUGUCUUUUUUCUCUUAACUUUUUAAAGAAAGUUGGACAGAUAAUAUAUGAACAUGAAGCAAUGCAAAAGUGUAUAACAAUAGAAAAGUGAGUCUAUCAUUGUGGCACAAUUUGUGGUAGCACAGAUCUAAAAGGAACCAAAUUUCCAUCAAAAGGUAACCUGAGUAAACAGGGGUAGGGCCACAUAAUGGAGUAAUCUGUGGCCCUAAAAAGGAAUGAAGAGUUUAUCUGUCUAUAGCAUAUAUUGUUGUGUGAAGAAAGCCCCACACCUAUAAUGAGACCUGGUUCCUUUUAGUGGGAAAGUAGAGCACAACCUGGCAGUAAUAGUGUUUGUGGCUUCUGGAUUAGUCAUUGUUUCUAGGUAUUUCAGUGGACAGUGGUAGGAAAUAAUUAUAAGUAUAAAUAAAAUAAAACAAUAAAUAUAUUAACAUACAUCAUGAAAUUUAUGGACAUUCCAACUUAAAUACAGUAUUUUGGGUUUUUAUUUAACCUCUUUAUCUUAUUUGUGUAUAGCCUUUCUCCCACAGUGAAAAUGCUGGUCCGCAAGUGCACCAAAAUAUGACUCCUUUCUUUAUCCUACAUUACAUUUGCAACUGUCUCAGAAUAACAACAUCAAAACUACCAUCAACAAUAUGAUCACUGUAACAUUUAAAGGUUUUUUAUAAGAUUUUUUUGUUCUUAGAGUCUAUACUAUAAAAAAAUACAUAUAUAAAUUCUGUUUUAAAAAAUAUUUGAAAUAAUUUCUUUUAGGUUGGUUAUGUUUUGCUUUUGUUUUUAGGAAUUGAUUUUUUUUAUGAUUUACUUUUAUAAGAAUGUGAAAAAAAUAUAUGAUUACAUAUUAAAUCUACAAAAUUAGGUUAAGCUCAGCAACUCUAGCUUCUAAUCCAGUUCCCUUAUCCUGUUCCACCUUCCCUAUAUUGUUAAGCAAUAUAUUUUAGUUUAAUAUAGUUACUAUAUGUAUGUAUGUUACACAUGUGUGUAGUUAUUAUAUAUUACAUAUGUAUAUAUGUGUGCAUAUAUGUGUCUUCUGUUACUAAAUAAAAUAAAGAGGUUUAAGCAUUUAUUCUGUUUUUGUAAUUUUCUAACCUUAAGGGAUUCAAUGUAUGAGUAAACGUUUCUUUCUAAAGAAUAAAAGCUAACAGAAUUUCUGGGGAGGAUGGUGGAAUAAGAGGACCCUAAGCUCGCCUUCCACAGAUACACCCAGAUAACACCCACAUCAGUGUAAAUAACUCAGAAAAUGACCCAAAGACUGGUAGAAUAGGCUCUCCACAGCUAAACAUAGAAAAGAGACCACAUCAAAAAUGUGAAAGGCGGAGAUAUAGUUAGGAACAAAACCGACCUGCCAUACUGCCCGCAGUGAGGGAGGGACGCUACAAUCAUGGAGAAGGGAGAAGAGUGGACCCCACCCCAGGCACCCAAGC